GCCCUGUGAUGAAAUUAUGGCAGUUCUGUGAUCUGUUAGACCAGGGAUUACGAUACUCUCGCCAUCUGUUUCGAUGGGUAAUCUUGGUAGUGUCAUAGUUAUAUUUCACUGCUGUAAGGGCCCACCUAUAUUGACACUGACUCUGCUUCUACAACUUCUGUCCUCCUCAAGAGCAAUGGGACAGGACGGGUAGGAGAUGUCAAACAAUGUAUGGCUGGUUUUGUUUGUGUGAUGAAUGUUUAUGUAACAGUUGGCAAGAGGACAUAAUCUCUUUUAGAUGGUUUGGCAGGUAUGAGCAUCAAUCUUUGGUAAUCUGAGGGCA